UGGCGGACGGGUGAGUAACGCGUGGAAAACCUGCCGUAUACUGGGGGAUAACACUUAGAAAUAGGUGCUAAUACCGCAUAAGCGCACAGCUUCGCAUGAAGCGGUGCGAAAAACUCUGGUGGUAUACGAUGGUUCCGCGUCUGAUUAGCUAGUUGGUGGGGUAAUGGCCUACCAAGGCAACGAUCAGUAGCCGGCCUGAGAGGGUGAACGGCCACAUUGGGACUGAGACACGGCCCAAACUCCUACGGGAGGCAGCAG
rnacentral:rRNA from 1 species